rnacentral:rRNA from 1 species
UACGUAGGGUGCAAGCGUUAAUCGGAAUUACUGGGCGUAAAGCGUGCGCAGGCGGCGCCGCAAGUCAGGCGUGAAAUCCCCGAGCUCAACUUGGGAAUUGCGCUUGAAACUACGGUGUUGGAGUAUGGCAGAGGGAGGUGGAAUUCCACGUGUAGCGGUGAAAUGCGUAGAGAUGUGGAGGAACACCGAUGGCGAAGGCAGCCUCCUGGGCCAAUACUGACGCUCAUGCACGAAAGCGUGGGGAGCAAACAGG